rnacentral:rRNA from 1 species
GAUGAACGCUGGCGGCGUGCUUAACACAUGCAAGUCGAGCGAGAAACUACAUGCAGACACUUCGGUAGAAGCGAGUAGCGGAAAGCGGCGGACGGGUGAGUAACGCGUAGGCAACCUGCCCUUCACAGAGGUAUAGCCUCGGGAAACCGGGAUUAAAACCGCAUAAAAUCAUAGGUUCGCAUGAACCAAAGGUCAAAGAUUUAUCGGUGAAGGAUGGGCCCGCGUCUGAUUAGCUGGUUGGUAGGGUAAAAGCCUACCAAGGCGACGAUCAGUAGCCGACCUGAGAGGGUGAUCGGCCACAUUGGAACUGAGACACGGUCCAAACUCCUACGGGAGGCAGCAGUGGGGGAUAUUGCACAAUGGGGGAAACCCUGAUGCAGCAACGCCGCGUGAGGUAUGAAGGCCUUUGGGUUGUAAGCCUCUGUCCUAGGGGAAGAAAAAAAUGACGGUACCCGAGGAGGAAGCCCGGCUAA